GUUCAGUAUAGCGUAUAGUGUUUUGUUUUGUUUUGUUUUAUUCCCUCACAAAACUUCUGACUGGAACUAGAAAUCAACUCCUGUUUGGAGGUCCAGUAGAAGAACUUCAUAUAAUUUAUUUCCCACUUUUCAUUAAGUAGUUUAUAUCCUACACUCUGGAUUUGUGCAAAAUAUGAUUACUUAUAAUAAUAAAUAACAAUGAUAUUUAAUGAAGAAAUACUCCCAACUUUUCCCAAAUGCUGAGAUCUGUGUACCUUCAACAAAAUUUAGUGGAUUUUCCAAGCUUCAAAUACUGGUAUUACUCACAACAGCAUUUGCCCUGUUUCUUCACAGUUUCAUCAAAGUUGCAUUUCAGAAGCUUUGGCAUCAGAGACACUCCACUCUUUUUUGUUGCCUAUAGGCCAGAGCUGUCAGUAGGGUUUUCUGUAUCCUUUUUAGUGGAGGGUUGUUAAUUCCUGGUAGUGCAGGCCAAGAAAAAAGGAGUGAGCCUGGAAAAACCACAUCCUCUCCUAGGACUAGAGUCUUCCCCUGGUUAUGUGUGUGAUUCCUACUGACUCCACCAGCUAUUGUGCAAGUGGAACUAAGCACAGAAUUUGACCUGCUGAUUUUGCAAGCAUAACUUAAAGUUUCACAUGUGCUCUUAUCCUUUUAAGCAAACAACUGUUUGUACAGCAAGAUAAAUACUCUCUGUUGAGCUGUCUUGAGCCUGUGAUUGUUCACUGCAGCUUUUCUUCUGCUUCCCACAAAAACCCCUGUGUUUGACCACUGGGUGUCAGUGAAAGACCGUGAAGUGUUUUUUCUGUAAUUUUAAACGUACAUGAGUUACUCCCAGCUCUGUGGGUGUUCUUUAUUUAAGGUGGCCUGGGCAAUUUUAAGCUCAUUGACAUAUACACCAGGAGUGUAUGAUUAUUAGGAAAAUCAUCUAAAAUCAGUAAAUUGUUCCCGAAUCUCUUCAUUAAUCAAUACAAAAUAAAUCAUACUACCGUG
rnacentral:lncRNA from 1 species